rnacentral:rRNA from 1 species
UACGGAGGGUGCAAGCGUUGUUCGGAAUCACUGGGCGUAAAGCGCGUGUAGGCGGCUAUCUAAGUCUGAUGUGAAAGCCCUGGGCUCAACUCAGGAAGUGCAUUGGAUACUGGAUAGCUGGAGUACCGGAGAGGAGGGUGGAAUUCCCGGUGUAGCGGUGGAAUGCGUAGAGAUCGGGAAGAACAUCGGUGGCGAAGGCGGUCUGCUGGGCCGUUGCUGACGCUGAGGCGCGACAGCGUGGGGAGCAAACAGG